rnacentral:lncRNA from 1 species
GCUGGAGGCGGCAGGCGGGCGGGUGGCUGGUGGCUGGCUGGCUGGCUGGUGGCUGGCUGGUAAAAUGAAGCAGGAAGUAUCUCAGCAUGGUGCCAAAGCCAUUGCCUGGGGCCGCUGUCUCCCGCUGGCUGGCUGGCUGGCUGACUGGCUCGCUGGCUGGCUGACUACACCACACCACACCGCCGCCACCACCAGCAGGGCACUCUAUCCUGGUCCCCAAGCCGCCAACACACGCUCUGCCUUCCCUGCGUGGCGGAGGCUGCAGAAGGCGCUGGUGGUGGAGGCGCUGGUGGUGGUAGUAGUGGUGGUGAUGGUGGUGAUGGUGGUGGUGGUGGUGGUUUGGUUGGAGCGUGAGGUGUUUGUUUAGCGCGUGUCCUGUUCAUUGCUGAAGUGUGUAGGGGAGGGAUUGGAAGGCACCCUCUUCGUCACCAACCACCACCACCACCACCACCACCACCACCAAGAGCGAAUGAAAAGGAUUAACGAUUGGGAAUUUUUCUUAAUACAGGAUGGUCAAGAUGAACUGUUGGUGGUGGGGAGGACAGGAUGAACGAGGACGCGAGGACUGGCUGAUGAAGAGCAUAAUUUUCUCCACCUCGCGUCUCAGAGAAGGUGAUUCGAAGCAGUGCAGUGAAGCAACACCAGUGGACGAUACGAUUGUUUGCCCGCCACAUUCCCGCUACCAAGUAAGACCAGCGGAUUCCAGGCAGAUUCCAGAUGGCCCAUUCCAAGACUCCAGAUUAUAGAAGCAGAAACAAGUAAAAAAUGAUGAAAAAAAGGAAGGAAAAGAAAAGGAAAGCUGGAUAAGCGGGACAUUAACCUUGCAGCUGCCAUACCUCCCCCCCUCUCACGGCCGCCUCCUACAUGUCCAGGUGGGGGGGGUGGGGAGUAUUACAGGUGUUCGGCUCUAUGUUGCACAGAACAAGUGGAAACAAACAACUCAAGACAGUAUUUCUAACAAUUCUAGCUCGCCUGACACUAACCACUCAACCAGUCACCCAGCCGCCCAGUCACCCAGUCACCCAACCACCUCCAGCAGCUGUGGAUGCGAGUCAAAAGUCAGCUCGUGGCAGCGGGGAGGCGCGGGGUCAGCUGUGCAUUGGUUCAGAGGCAGCGAGGCGGGACGCGCGUUGCAUUAUAGACACAGCGCAGCCACCGUCUUAAUAUUAGGAACCUCUGAGGCUUUUGUUGAUUCCGCUCUGCUUAUUGUCCACUGACCUUUAACCAUCUUGUGUCGCUUCUAAAGAAUGAGGAGAGAGAAGAAAAGGAGCAGACUAGGAAGAUGAUGAUAGGACGAAGAGUAAAAGAUGAAGCGAAAGAAGAGCAGAUAAGUCUCUCUCUCUCUCUCUGCCCACAAUGUCAAACCCACAGUAACACCCAACAAAGUACAUUUCUAUAUUAAUUGCAUCCUAUCUAUUGCAGAAAAGGAAGAGCAGGAUAGGAGUAUAAAAGGACAAAAGAUAAAGGUAAGAGAAGGAGGAAGAAAAGAUAAGAGGAAGAAAACGACAAAAAGAAUUAUUAACAAGAUAAAUCAAUAGCAACAUAAGAAAUUAACCUCACUCCCUCUCAGCCCACAGCCCCACAUUGUUGACAAACCCAGUCACACCCCAUAGAUACCCCCCCUAUAAUAAUUCUCCAGUCAACCCCCACAGGGCCAGCCCCAACACACA